UCAAGCUUUAAGCAUCCACCAGAGGUUGUUUAUGAAGUGGCAUCCCAUCCUCAGGUUGCGAAGCAAGUAUCUCCACUUUGUUACAGCCAUCCACCUCCAAGGUCUUCAAUGCCGGCCAACGUAACGCAUGUGUUCCUGUGUAGAUGCACUUC